AUAAGAAUUGUCACAGGUAGAGUUUUUUAUAGCCCUAGUAUCCUAAGUGAUGUGAUGGUUCAAGUUUUUAUUUUCCUUUAGAAAUGAAUAAUCUGAAACAUUGUUUUCACUCCGUGUGUCUACAGGGGAGAAUUUCACAAUCUGAAGAAUCAAAAAACAGCUUCGCACUGCCAAUACCUGCAUUUGAAAUAUGUGAUGGCAGUUUGGAGAAAACCAGUGUACAGAUCAUAGCACACAUUUAUUUUGUAGUGAUACACUUGAAAACCAAAAUCAUGUGUAGCAUAAAGUGGGCAAUCUUGCAGAAAUUAUGUAAAAAGAGAGAGGUGAAUAGAAAGAACAGUGGAAGGCAAUGUAAACUGCAUGGAGUGCUGCCAUCUUUUGGUCAUAACAAACUAGAAUUGUUACAAGAGAGCUCUGAAUAUGUUUAA
rnacentral:lncRNA from 1 species